rnacentral:rRNA from 1 species
GACGAACGCUGGCGGCGUGCCUAAUGCAUGCAAGUUGAGCGAUGAAGAUUGGUGCUUGCACCAAUUUGAAGAGCAGCGAACGGGUGAGUAACGCGUGGGGAAUCUGCCUUUGAGCGGGGGACAACAUUUGGAAACGAAUGCUAAUACCGCAUAACAACUUUAAACAUAAGUUUUAAGUUUGAAAGAUGCAAUUGCAUCACUCAAAGAUGAUCCCGCGUUGUAUUAGCUAGUUGGUGAGGUAAAGGCUCACCAAGGCGAUGAUACAUAGCCGACCUGAGAGGGUGAUCGGCCACAUUGGGACUGAGACACGGCCCAAACUCCUACGGGAGGCAGCAGUAGGGAAUCUUCGGCAAUGGACGAAAGUCUGACCGAGCAACGCCGCGUGAGUGAAGAAGGGUUUCGGAUCGUAAAACUCUGUUGGUAGAGAAGAACGUUGGUGAGAGUGGAAAGCUCAUCAAGUGACGGUAACUACCCAGAAAGGGACGGCUAACUACGUG